GCAGCCUAAACAAACAUACAAGUUAUUAAAUACUGAUAACUUAGCAGAUGUAACUUCCAAAUAAAUUGUUUAUAUAAUAAACUAGAAGAUUUAGGAGCCCUUAGUUUUAAAAAUUGCUAUAGUUUUUAAAUAGUCAGCUAUUUUACAGCAACUCAAUUCACAAGACUCUGGAGAGAGUACUCAGCAACCUGCUGGUAAAAAAAAAAAAAUCUCAUGAAAUAGUCAUGAUAAAUUUCAGCUUUAGCAACUACUGUGAUCAUGUAUUCAAGACAAAAACACUUAUCACAUCAAACUCAAGUAGCUAGUACAUAAAACUAGUCAUCAAUUCUACGUGACUGACUCUUCACUUUUUUACUGAUGUUAAGUUCUUUACAGAGAGUGGUGAGGUGCUGGAACAGGCUGCCCAGAGAGGUUGUGGAUGCCCCGUCCCUGGAGGUGUUCAAGAGCAGCUGAAUUCCAGAUGGGUGAAGAUAUAGCUAAGGAAGGAUUUUCUGCAGAUGUUUGGAGAAGUUGGUGCUAUUCAUUUCAAAAAGGCAACAAUGGCAAAAGCUUCUUGUCGUGAUGCAGUAGUGUCUACAACCUUCACAGCUCAUUGAA